AUUGAACGCUGGCGGCAGGCUUAACACAUGCAAGUCGAGCGGGGGAAGGUAGCUUGCUACCGGACCUAGCGGCGGACGGGUGAGUAAUGCUUAGGAAUCUGCCUAUUAGUGGGGGGCAACAUCUCGAAAGGGAUGCUAAUACCGCAUACGUCCUACGGGAGAAAGCAGGGGAUCUUCGGACCUUGCGCUAAUAGAUGAGCCUAAGUCGGAUUAGCUAGUUGGUGGGGUAAAGGCCUACCAAGGCGACGAUCUGUAGCGGGUCUGAGAGGAUGAUCCGCCACAUAGGGACUGAGACACGGCCCAGACUCCUACGGGAGGCAGCAGUGGGGAAUAUUGGACAAUGGGGGGAACCCUGAUCCAGCCAUGCCGCGUGUGUGAAGAAGGCCUUAUGGUUGUAAAGCACUUUAAGCGAGGAGGAGGCUACUCUAGUUAAUACCUAGGGAUGGUGGACGUUACUCGCAGAAUAAGCACCGGCUAACUCUGUGCCAGCCGCCGCGGUAA
rnacentral:rRNA from 1 species